CAAGUCGUACGCUUCUUUUUCCACCGGAGCUUGCUCCACCGGAAAAAGAGGAGUGGCGAACGGGUGAGUAACACGUGGGUAACCUGCCCAUCAGAAGGGGAUAACACUUGGAAACAGGUGCUAAUACCGUAUAACAAUCGAAACCGCAUGGUUUUGAUUUGAAAGGCGCUUUCGGGUGUCGCUGAUGGAUGGACCCGCGGUGCAUUAGCUAGUUGGUGAGGUAACGGCUCACCAAGGCCACGAUGCAUAGCCGACCUGAGAGGGUGAUCGGCCACAUUGGGACUGAGACACGGCCCAAACUCCUACGGGAGGCAGCAGUAGGGAAUCUUCGGCAAUGGACGAAAGUCUGACCGAGCAACGCCGCGUGAGUGAAGAAGGUUUUCGGAUCGUAAAACUCUGUUGUUAGAGAAGAACAAGGAUGAGAGUAACUGUUCAUCCCUUGACGGUAUCUAACCAGAAAGCCACGGCUAACUACGUGCCAGCAGCCGCGGUAAUACGUAGGUGGCAAGCGUUGUCCGGAUUUAUUGGGCGUAAAGCGAGCGCAGGCGGUUUCUUAAGUCUGAUGUGAAAGCCCCCGGCUCAACCGGGGAGGGUCAUUGGAAACUGGGAGACUUGAGUGCAGAAGAGGAGAGUGGAAUUCCAUGUGUAGCGGUGAAAUGCGUAGAUAUAUGGAGGAACACCAGUGGCGAAGGCGGCUCUCUGGUCUGUAACUGACGCUGAGGCUCGAAAGCGUGGGGAGCAAACAGGAUUAGAUACCCUGGUAGUCCACGCCGUAAACGAUGAGUGCUAAGUGUUGGAGGGUUUCCGCCCUUCAGUGCUGCAGCUAACGCAUUAAGCACUCCGCCUGGGGAGUACGACCGCAAGGUUGAAACUCAAAGGAAUUGACGGGGGCCCGCACAAGCGGUGGAGCAUGUGGUUUAAUUCGAAGCAACGCGAAGAACCUUACCAGGUCUUGACAUCCUUUGACCACUCUAGAGAUAGAGCUUCCCCUUCGGGGGCAAAGUGACAGGUGGUGCAUGGUUGUCGUCAGCUCGUGUC
rnacentral:rRNA from 1 species